AUUGAACGCUGGCGGCAGGCCUAACACAUGCCAGUCGAGCGGAGCGGCGGACGGGAGAGUAAUGCCUAGGAAACUGCCUUGUAGUGGGGGAUAACGUCCGGAAACGGGCGCGCAUACCGCAUAAUAUCAGAUGAGCCUAGGUCGGAUUGGCUAGUUGGUGGGGUAAAGGCCUACCAAGGCGACGAUCCGUAACUGGUCUGAGAGGAUGAUCAGUCACACUGGAACGGAGACACGGUCCAGACUCCGACGGGAGGCAGCAGUGGGGAAUCUUGGAAAAUGGGCGAAAGCCGGAUCCAGCCAUGCCGCGUGUGUGAAGAAGGUCGUCGGAUUGUAAAGCACUUUAAGUUGGUAGGCGUUACCAACAGAAUAAGCACCGGCUAACUUCGUGCCAGCCGCCGCGGUAAUUC
rnacentral:rRNA from 1 species